UACGUAGGGUGCGAGCGUUAAUCGGAAUUACUGGGCGUAAAGCGUGCGCAGGCGGCCUCGCAAGUCAGACGUGAAAUCCCCGGGCUUAACCUGGGAAUGGCGUUUGAAACUACGGAGCUGGAGUGUGGCAGAGGGAGGUAGAAUUCCACGUGUAGCGGUGAAAUGCGUAGAUAUGCGGAGGAACACCGAUGGCGAAGGCAAUCCCCUGGGCCUGCACUGACGCUCAUGCACGAAAGCGUGGGGAGCAAACAGG
rnacentral:rRNA from 1 species